GCAGCCAGGAGUCUGGAGCGCAGGUGCCGGGCAGGCAGCACUGGGAGCGCUCGGCGACUUGGCUGGAGGCCGAAGGUGCCGCCCCUGGGGAACCAGAGCGCCUUUGCAAGUGUGCCCAAGGCUAUUCCACAGAUGUCUGAAUUCAUUGUCUACUGAAAUUCCGACGUCUUGACAGUUCAACAUGUUCCAGGACAUGGCUGUUGUAGGAAAAAAUAUGAAUUAGAAAUAAGAGGAUUUAUUCACAUACCUUAAAAUAAAGGAGAAUAUUUUGCUCUUCUCUCUUUUCUUAUAGCAUUUAUAUUAUAUGUAGACAAUUUUCUCUGUUUUUUUUGAAAUAUAUGGAAGUCAUAUUAACAGCUAAAUAAACCUUUUGGCAUUCUUUUUUACUCGGGAUUGUCUUUAUCUAGGACCUUAGAUUCAUUGCUUGUUUUUGCUUUGGCAAAAGUUUAUAUUUUUUGUUAUUAGCCUUCUAAGGUAGACACAGAUUUGUUUAGAUAAAUGUCAUUUUAAGUGCACACAAAAGUUUGGCACCAAGAUAGGAUUAAAUUUAGCAAUACAGAAUGAUUAAAGCCAAGAGAUACUGAGUAAGUUCCUUUGACAGAAAACUGAUUAUCUGAGGUAAUGAUCUAAUAUUUGCAGGUUGAAGUACUUACACUGCAAAAGCAAGUGUAGUUCAGUGUAUAAACUGUGGAGUCUGUAGUUGUACUUUGCUUUCUAUUUUAUACUUCAGAAUAAUUAGCAUAGUUAU
rnacentral:lncRNA from 1 species